rnacentral:rRNA from 1 species
UACGUAGGGGGCGAGCGUUGUCCGGAUUUAUUGGGCGUAAAGAGCUCGUAGGCGGUUCGGUAAGUCGGAUGUGAAAUCUCCACGCUCAACGUGGAGGGGCCAUUCGAUACUGCCGUGACUCGAGUCCGGUAGGGGAGUGUGGAAUUCCCGGUGUAGCGGUGAAAUGCGCAGAUAUCAGGAGGAACACCGGUGGCGAAGGCGGUUCUCUGGGCCUUACCUGACACUGAGGAGCGAAAGCGUGGGGAGCGAACAGG